UACGAAGGGGGCUAGCGUUGCUCGGAAUCACUGGGCGUAAAGCGCACGUAGGCGGCUUUCUAAGUCAGGGGUGAAAUCCUGGAGCUCAACUCCAGAACUGCCUUUGAUACUGGAGAGCUUGAGUCCGGGAGAGGUGAGUGGAACUCCGAGUGUAGAGGUGAAAUUCGUAGAUAUUCGGAAGAACACCAGUGGCGAAGGCGGCUCACUGGCCCGGUACUGACGCUGAGGAGCGAAAGCGUGGGGAGCAAACAGG
rnacentral:rRNA from 1 species